GUGCUCAUUUCUACAGCACAGACUCUGAAAUUGUAACCAUACAAAGAAGAUCAAAGUGGUUCCCGGUCAAGGAUGGUCUGCAAAUUUGUGAAGCAGUUCAUAUUUUA